rnacentral:tRNA from 1 species
GUCCCUGUCGUCUAGCUGGCCAAGGACGCCGGGCCCUCAACCCGGAAACGGGGGUUCAAAUCCCCCCAGGGACACCA